rnacentral:tRNA from 1 species
CGGCCUAUAGCUCAGCUGGUUAGAGCGCACGCCUGAUAAGCGUGAGGUCGAUGGUUCGAGUCCAUUUAGGCCCA